rnacentral:tRNA from 1 species
GGGAUUGUAGCUUAAUGGUAGAGUACUUACCUAGCAAGCAUGAGGCCCUUGGUUAAAUUCCUCAGUACCA